GAAAAAAGCUGAUUUUGAUGAUCCAAAGUUGGUUUUGAUUGAUGAAACAAUAGAACCCGUGACAGGGUAAACAGAGUUUGGAGUGAAGUUCAGCUUAUUAGCUUGCGAAAGAGUAUGCAAAGGGGCCGAAAAAACUGAAGAAAAUGCCAUUGAGGACAUCAGAUUCACACACAAAACACAGCUGAAUUGAAACAGAUCUUCUUCUUCUUCAGGAAUCAGAAGCAAUUGUGCUAUUGUGAGUGAUAAAAACACGCGGGACAGGCACAGCAACAGAAGUUGGAAUUUAGAGUGGAAGAUGAUGAUCCACGUGGUAGUUUGAGUGCCUUUCUCUUUUUUGGGCUUUGAGUCCUUAUUCAUCCUUGUGUUUUGCAAAAAUUAAUUUUUCAAAUACGGUAAAACUUUUAAAAAGUACUCUAAAAAUAGUUUUAAUUUUUUUAAUAUUUCAAAAAUAUUCUAAAAAUCCUACUACUUUUAAAUAUUUUAAAAUAUAUUCUAAAAACUCUGUUAUAAUAAAAUUUUUUAAAAAUAUUUUAAAAAAUAGCUAAUCCAAAUGGGACACAUCUUUUUUAUACAAUACUAAAUGCUUUCUCUAUUAUUGUCCUAUCAAAUAUGUUCAUUACAUCCAAGGUACUAUUGAAAAAUCAAAAUGUGCAUAGACACCACAACUUCCUAGGGGCACGCAUGAGAAGACAGAUUGCUUCUUGAAAUUUGAAUAUGCAAAAAAAGAUGUUGUUGUGAUAGUUUAUUAACUUAUCAAUUUUACACCAAAUAAGAAAUAGGUUUUUUUCAAUCCAUGAAAAUAAGAAACUAAUGGAGAAGAUAAUUUAGAUGAAUAAGGGUUUUGUGCUUUUUGGUAAAUGUUCAUGAAUAUCAAUUCAAACGUGACUUACUUUACGUAAAAUUGUGUUAUCAUCACUGCAAAAGUAGUCAAGCAAAAUAAUUAAGACAAAAUAUUCGUCCUUAUCAAAUCUUACAAGGGAUAAUUUCAGCAAUUUCUCUUGAUGUUUAAAAAACUAUGGAAACCUGGUUUGAAAAACUAUGAAAACUCCUUUAGAAAGUAAAUCUUGAUAACAAUGGAUGAUAUAAGCCAAAAAAAAAAAAAUCGAUGAAUAUCCAAUACAACCCUUCUCUAAUAUGUAAAACAAAUUAAAUCUUAAAAAGUCAAUUAUUUCCAUUAUCUGUUUGGUGAAAAUUUCAAACAUUUCAUAGGAAAAUUUAAGCCAUGUUUUGAACGCAUUCUUUUUUGGUACUUUGGACAUUUUUUUUUUUUGGUAAGUAAUUUUUGAAAGUACUUAUUUUAACAAAUGCCUCCUUAACUGGUUGGUCAACCUUUUUAUAAAUUGAUUAAUGAAUCUAGUAGAAAAAAUUGAGAGUGAAAUAUAAUGUACUAGAUUAAAUGACAUUAGAGUUUAGGAUAAAGAAGUAUCACUACAAAAGAAAUUUCAUUUUUCUCUUUUAAACUCAUUUUUACCGAAAAUUUGUAAAGUUUGUGAAGAUUAUUAUUACAUAGUUUUUUCAUAACAUCAAGAAAGUUAAGCGUAAUUUUUCAAAUAACAGGAGAGGUGGCCUCAAUUAUCAUCAGAAACCCAAAAGGGAGGUUUGAAAUUAUCCUAUCUUACAAAUACAAAUCUCUAUCAAAUAGAUUUUGUUAAACACUAACAUGGAAUAAUUGACCAACAUAAUGUGAAUCAAACUCCAAGUAAGUUUGACUGCCAACAUCAUUUUAAGUGUAAUUUCCUAAGACCUCUCCUCGUAAUAUAAUAGGAUUUAUUGACCGCUGGUCCGCAGUGGUUGGCCUCAACGGAUUGUACAGUUAACCAAUCACUGUUAUUGGUUAGUUGAAUUUUAGAUGUUAAUGACUAAAUGUGCAAAGAAACUGAAUAGGAACCAAAAUAAAGGAAUGCUACAAGUGUAACGGAUUAAAUGUGUCUGUCUAUUCUAUUAAAAAAAAAAGGGUAAUAUUAUUUGUACUCCUCAUAUAUUAAUUGCACUCCCACUAUCUCAUUUUUAUUUUGACGAGACUAUAUUACUCCCUUCCUAAUUUAUUCUCCUUGCCUGUGAGUUAAUUUUACUAGAUUUUCUCUUACAUUUUAAAACCAAUUAAUUAUUCCAUUACACAUUAAAAUGGCUAAUUUAAAAUUAUCACUAAUAUGUAUUAUGUAUUUUUCUACAAAACUUCACAAAACUACAUGUUGCCAAAAAUCAAUCUAACAAUGUAAUAUAAACAAAUUCCAAACUUCAAACCCAAAAAAAUAAAAACAAAAAGUCCCAAUCUUCAAAGAUGACCAAAAACUAAGUAUAACUAUAAUGUCUCAUAAAAAUAACACUAAUACUUCAAAAAAUCUACUAAGAAUAAUUCAUAUAGCCACCAUAGUGGGAGUGAAGUUUUCUAGCAUAUUUCAACAAAAGUAUAAUAGCAUCUAGUAUCCAGAUGAUGCAAUGGAACCUCAAUUGUGUUCAUAAAAAAUAUACAAAAUUGGAAUUAAAAUAAGAAUAUGAAAAAUAAAUUAAAAAACAAUUCUGUAGAUUUAGAAAAGAGAAACCAGAGUUAUGUAGAUUUAGAAAAAAAGAACACAAUUGUGCCCAACUUCCUUACAUGUGAACACAAGAUAGGGUAGAAGAAAAAAUUACGAUAGGAGUAAUAUAGUCUCAUCAAGAUGAAAAUGAAGUAGUAGGAGUGCAAAUAACAUAGAAGGAAAAACUAAUUUUUAAGGGCAAAGGCAUUAGUCCUCUAUAUCUCGAGUUUGUAAUUCUCUCUACUUUUAGUUUUCCAUAAUUCAUUCUCCAUUUUUUUAAUAUUUUUUUUAUACCUAUAACUGACGUAACUAUUGCACAUAAAUCAUUAGGCUAAAAUACUCAAACGGAUUUAAUAAAAUUCACUGCUCAAAGUCUCAAGGUAGUCCACUUUUCUUGAGAUGUGAGUUGUUUACACGUAUCGCUUUGGUGCCUUUGCGUCUUUAUCGAUCGCUACAUAAACCACUUGGUGUAUUUUACCCAAUUGUUUUUGAACCUUUUGUUGCUGCCUGCAUCUGCCUUUUUUUUUUUUUUUCCGUCAUCGCCAUUUACUCUACUUCUGCUCCUACGUUUACUUUAACCUAUUCUAAGAGGUAAUCCAACUGAGUCAAGGGGAGGAUCGAUCAUAACUGAACUACAAUCGAACCAUAUUAAUACACUACACACCCAUAUCGAUAUGGAUUUGAAGACGCCACAUUAGUGGCAAAGUGAUGGAAGCCUGCAAUGGCCAUGAAAGACAAGGAAACAAGUUGUGAGCAACUGCAAGUCCCUCAAGUACUAAAUAUUUCUUAAGAACCAUUUUUUUAAGCAGAUAAUUUAUUUUGUUUUAUUAGUACAAAAAAAAAAGAAAAAAAAUAAAUGAUGAGAAACUGCUUAUAAAUAGGCAUUAAGAACCGUAAAUAGAACUAAGAGUCCUAGUUUUAUCAUGUUUCUUUAUGUUUACAAAAUCUUGCACAGUAAGAAAUUCACCUGGAGGAGGAUUUACUCCUUUGCAAAGAUCAGGUUAGCCAUUUGGUGCAGCUUUAGUCAAGGUUUUAACUAUUUUAACAGUUGAAAAUCUUUUGUUUACUGAAUAACUAUAAAUGUCCAGUUUCUUGUUGAUCACGAAUUUCAGUGGUUAGACAACCUAGCUAAUUGUUAUUUCAGCUUUGUAACUAUACUUUAGGACACGAGAAUUUUACUGUUUGGACAACCUAAUUGUUGUUCUCAAAUAGGUUCUAUCAUUGGCUCAGAAUACAAUUGCUCUCCAGCUUUUUUCCUCUGCUGUCUCAAAUAAGGGUUGAAAGUUUCACUUUUGAUAACGCACCAAGUUUUGCUAGUCAUGUUGCUUCAGCACUUUUUUAACUGAUCAAUUAGUUACUGGUGUCAAUAUCUUCUUGCUUUAUCUUUGAACCGGCAAACUUCUUCGAUAACUAUUCUGGAUUUGCAGCACAAGAAGUGUUGGGCUGUUGAUGCCUUUGCCAGCCAAAUAUGUAACGUUGUUUGAGUGGACACAGCCUUUGAACAGUUUUGCACAAAAUCAGGUCUCAUCUCUGUAAUUUUACAUGCUAUUGUCUUCAUAUCACUCCUAUCGUACUGGAGGCAGGGAGUUUUUUCAAUUGCCUUUUGCUCAUUAUAUCCCUAAUUCUUUCCACAUCCUUCCACUUUUCUAGUCCAGCAUAUAUGUUGGAUAGAAUAACAAAGGGAAUAGGAUUAUCAGGCUCUAAAGCUGAAAGCUCUCUAGCAAUCUCUUCGCCCAGCUCAAAAUCGGCAUGCUGUUCACAAGCUCCAAGCAACGAAGCAAGAACAGAGGCUGAGGGAUCUGUUAUUCCUCCCAACAGUUGUUGAGCUUCUUUCAGUUGACCAGACCGACCAAGUAGAUCAAUCAUGAUGUAGAGUUGCUCUGAAGUUGGUUGUAAACCAUAGUUAACAACCAUCGACCGGAAAAUUUGCCACCCUAAGUCAACUUCGCCAGUAUGACUACACAUUGAGAGCAUGCAGUUGAAAGUUGCUGAAUUUGGAUGCACUUUUUCCUCCAGCAUCUGGUAGAACAACUUAAAGCCAUCUUCACUUCUGCCAUUUCUGCUGUAGCCAGAUAUCAUUGCAUUCCAAAAUGCUGGAUCACGAGGCUUUAUGUUGAAUUGGUUAAAAACACAUUCGGCUAAAGUAGUUUUCCCGCAUUUCAUAUACAUAUCAAUGAGUGCAGUGGCCAAAAAUUCAUCAUCACUGAUCCCUGACCUAAGAACAUGUGCAUGAAUCUCUUGUCCAAAGUGCAGCGCGGACAGAGCUGAACAAGCAGUUAAUAAACUUGUGACAGAUUUCAGACUGGGCAAUAUAUUCUCAGAGAGCAUUUUCCUGAAGAAGAGGAAAGCUUCAGCUUCUUGUCCCAACCGGGAAAACCCACUGAUCAUCAAAUUCCAUGUUGCUGAAUCUGGCGUCAACUGGUUAUCUUCCAAUUGUACAAAAAGCUCAAUUGCAAGCUCACUUUGAUCAUUCAACAUCAUUCCUGCAAUCAUCGAAUUCCAUGUUAUUAAGCUUCUACCAUUACCCAGUUCCUUAAACACCCCAUAAGCAGAAUCCCAAGAGCCACAUUUCGAGUACAUAUCUACAAGUGCAGUUCCAACCUUAGUGUCAAAUCUUAAUAAUCCUUUCAUAGUAAACCCAUGGACUUGUCUCCCAAAGCGAAGAUAUUUAAGUUUUGCGCAAGCAGAAGCGACCGAGAUCAACGUAACUAAGUUCGGGUUUCCACUAGAUGAUCCUCUCAUCUCAUUAAACACAUUCAAGACCUGUAAAUGAGCCCCAUUCUGCAGCAUCCCCGACAUAUAUGCAUUAUAGCAAACCACAUUCUUGCAAUGAAUCAAUCCAUAAACCUUUUCAGCCGAGCCCAAAUCUCCACAAUUCAAGUACAUUGUCAACAACGACGUUGCUGCAUAAAUAUCGGUUUCGACACCAAUCUUAAUAGCCAAACAAUGCAAUUGCACACCCUGCUCAGCAUCACUGCACCCAGAUAAGCCACUAGCUAUAGUAACGGAAUCCGGUCUAAUCCUUCGACAACUAAUUAGCUGAAACAUAUUCAGAGCCUCCUUACAAAACCCAUUUUGAGCAAACCCAGAAAUGACGGCAUUACAUAGAUCAAUAGUUGGUUUACGAAUUUCAUCGAACAUCUUGGUUGCAUCUUCCACCAGCUUCAGUUUCAUGUAGACAUUCGUGAGAGCAGUAGCAGUGUGCAUUUGGAACUGGAACCCAGUUCUAAUAAUAUGGGCAUGCAGCAUCUGGGCUUGGGAGAGAGCUUUUAGGCUGGCGCAUGCUUUGAGGAGAAAAGGAAAUGCGAAGUUUUUGGGAAGAAAUGAGGCUGGGACUGAGGCAGAGUGGAGUUGAGAGUAGAGAGCAAGAACUUCUCUGUAAAGCCCAUUUCUUACUAGCUGCGAAAUUUGGUGAGCCAUCCUUUACGCCGCCGUAGUCUUUCCUGUUCUGGGCUCAUUUCUUGAAAAUUUUCAAUAGAAAUUCAAUUUUCGGGAUUCUAUUGAGAUUGUGAUUUCGUCCACUUAAUUUAUGACCAGAGUUAGUUUUUUCAAUUGGGAGUACGAGUUCUUUGCCAGUUCAGCAAUAGUUUUUCUUUCUUUCUCGCAAUUGGAUGGCAGAAAGUGGGCAGAGCCAAUGAUUCUCGAUUCUCUUCAAAACAACCAAAGAUCAGGUAGCUUGAACAUAUUUAUCAAAUUGGAUAACUUUUCCAAGGACCAUAUAUUAUUUUAUUUUAUGACCAUUGUUCUGGUUGGUUGGAUGGAGCCUUCCAUUUCCUCAUUUUUUUUUUUUGGUUGAGGCAUCCUUUGCAAUGUGGUAGCAAGACUGUUAAAGAGUAAGCAUAACAGGUUAAAUUUUAGCUAUGAUGACCAAACUUUUUUCGGCAUUGGAUUGGCUUAAUUUCUUGAGUUUUUAACCUUUGAAUUAGAGCUGAUUUAAAUUUGAGCAAAUCUUAUAUACUUAGAGUGUAUUUACUCCCAUCGUUAAAUUCAUAAUAUAUAUGUAAAAGUUGAAUUUCAAAUUCAAAUUUUACAUGAUUAUUAUUAAUCAAAUACUAAUAAUGUGUAGGAAAAAUUAAUCCUUUACAUUUUAUGGUUGUUACAUAUACGAACUUGGAAUAGGGUAGAGGAUUUUGAGCUUAACUGCUGAGAUGCAGGCUGAGAAAACAAGCCCAUUUGAGAGUUGGAAAGAGAUUUUUUUCCCCCAUAUUUAUAAAGGCUGAUUGGGAGAUCGAAAAAUUGUGCCCUUGGAGUUAUGCCCUUGGAAAUGUUGGCAAGAGCCAAGUGCAAGGAGUUAUUGGACUGACCAUCUUUGAUUUGGAGGAAAAACGAAUGUGAAAUCUAUACAGAGCCAUGCACCAAAAUGGGCUUUCCUAACUGCUGCCAUGUUACAAUUUAUCAAUUCCUCUAUCACAAUUACUUACGCUUGUCUCAGAGAUUGAGUUCAUUCCUGCUGGAUGUAAUCUAUUUAUCAUUCAUUCAUUGGGAUUUAGAGACCAGCAAUGUUCUCCUUAAAAAAAAAACAUAUGAGCAAAAUUUUCAAAUUUUGGUCUUUCAAGGUUGCAGUAACAGGAGCUCCCUAAGUGUCAAAGUAUGUGACCCUUCCAUCAUCAGACCAAUCCUACUGUAACAUAUUAACCAAAACCGUGGUAGCCUCAAGAAACUCAUGAGGCUCCUGUUUAACUAGUUAUAAAGGUGACAAGCGACAGUGGUGAGAAUGAUUCAAGCUGAAACUAAUGCCUGUACUGGUCUUUCCAGCAUGCCAAAAUUCGUCUAACUAGGACUCUUGCCAAGUACUUUGAUUAGUCAUGUUCUUGAAGUCCAAUUGGAUAGUACAAUCUAUCCUUCAAUUUCAUAUGGCAAAAGUGUUAACAGCAAAUUCCAGAACAUUCAAACCAGAAAAUUUUCAUAUACAGAGCAAUGAGUUGUUGCACCAUCAAUAAGCUAGACCAUACUGAUGCUAGAUUUUCACUGCUAGUAUUCCAUCCUCGCUGAAUUUUGAUAUACAGAGCAAUGAGUUGUUGCACCAUCAAUAAGAUAAACCACGCCGAUCCUAGAAUUUUGUGGCUAGAUUUCCACUGCUAGUAUUCCAUCCUUCUUGAACUUGAACUGAAUACUGCAUGUGCCAAAGAAUGUCUUCUAUUGAUGGACGCGAGCUUGAUUCUUUGUUUAAACAACUUAUGGUGAUCUGAGCUACUGUUUUUAGUGAUUCAUAUGCAAAUGUUCCUCUAAUGGAGAGGUCAGUCAAAUCUUUGAGUUUCGAUGGCGAUUCUGCUAAGCAAAUUUCCAACUGUUCAUUGGAAAAAGUACAUUUUAGCUUUGAUUAGUUGAAUCAUCAAAAGCAGCACGAGGCAAGUAAAGAUUUUCAUUUAUCAAUUAUAAGAAAACUGUUGCUGGUUACCUGAAGUUUUAGGUCAUCUAUAUCGCUUGGAGAAAUGAUUGGUCGACCAGUAAUAACUUCAAGCAAUAUAACUCCCAGCUGAUAAAUGUCGUCUUUGUCCGUGUUUUGCUGCUAGAUAAGGGCUAUCUUGUCCAUUCAGAGGGCUUUCGGAACCCACCUGUGAAGUUGCAGCAACACAUGAUAUUAGGGAUGUGCUACAUUUGAGACUUGUUGACUUAGUGAGAUGUCCUAAAUGAGCGUUGCUUGAAUAGAUUUACCUUUGAUGGCAAGGACAAGUUAUAGCUGCUUAUUUUUGCAGAUAGGCUCUCAUCCAGCAAUAUGUUUUCAAUCUUUAGAUCAUUCCCAAUAACACCAGAGGUGUGUAGGUACUGAAUUCCCUUUGCAAUACUCAUCAUAAUCGAGAUUCUUUGUGGCCAUUUAAGAACUUCCCUCUUUCUCCAGUCUGCCAAUUUGUCAAUACAUAAUAUCUCAUUGCCUUUCAAGGAAUAGGAGCUGAAUCUUAAAGAUGGAGAAUGAUAGAAAUCUAGUCUAUGUUUACCAGUUAAGUGAUCCC
rnacentral:lncRNA from 1 species